rnacentral:ribozyme from 1 species
UCUUUUCUUUUUUCUUUUUUUCUUUUCUUUUGGGCUCUUCUUUGAUUCGGGAACUUUCUUCUAACAACACAAAAAACACUAACAGCAACACACUGUGAACUAAAAAUGUAGAAAAUAGAAAAUGUACU